GGCUCCUUGAUUAUUUAAUAUAUAAGGAGUCGGACCUGCCCAGUGAAGUAGUUUUAAACGGCCGCGGUACUCUGACCGUGCAAAGGUAGCAUAAUCAUUUGCCCUAUAAUUGAGGGCUAGUAUGAAUGGUUUGACAAGAAUAAAGCUGUCUCUAUGUAAUUAUAUAGAAUUUUAUUUUUAGGUGAAGAAGCCUAAAUUGUAUUAAAAGACAAGAAGACCCUAUCGAGCUUUAAAGAAAUUAAUAAAGUAAUAAUAAAUAUUUAUAAAAUAAAAUUUAUUAAAAAUUUUGGUUGGGGCGACAAAGGAACAAACAAAGCUUCUUUUAAAAUAAUGAAACUUACAAGUAUUGAUCCAAAAAAUUUUGAUUAAAGAAAUUAGUUACCGUAGGGAUAACAGCAUUAUCUUUUUUGAGAGCUCAUAUCGAAAAAAAGGUUUGUGACCUCGAUGUUGGACCAGGAUAUCCCAAAGAUGCAGAAGUCUUUAAAGGUUGGUCUGUUCGACCAUUAAAAUCCU
rnacentral:rRNA from 1 species